UAACCCGCUGUGUUUUGGUCUUUUCUCUUUCGUCUCUUUACAUCUUCCGUUUCCUCCUCUCUCUCAACUCUGACCCCCACUCGCUUCUGUUUCCUCUCAACUCAGACUGCCACACCCUCGCCGCCGGCGGAGCAAAACAGAGACACCGCCGCCUCCAUCAGUGAAGCACGAUCUCUCGCGCCGGAUGUCUGACCCAUGGUUUAAUCCUCCAUCCUCCUUUCCAACCUCAACCCCGCAUGCCUCCGGUCUCAGCCCGACGAAGACGAAGAAGGAGACAAAGGCAGAGAAAUCCCAUCCUCCAUCUGAAUGAGAAACAGAGGUGCGUGAAGAAGAACACGGACGGAUCUCCUCCGAAGAAGCAGUAGAGGUGCGAAAUCUUGAGUGGGAAAUUCUAUUAGCUGCGAAUAUGAGGUUAGAGAGGGAAGUUGAUGCCGAUUCGGACUCGUUCCUAGCAGCUUUUCAGGGUGAAAGUGAUGCAUAUACGGCUGAAUUUGAUGCCGUUUUCAGGCGAGUUGUGGAGAUUGAAACGGGUAAUCCUCCGGCGGCGAAAAGGUUUGUGGGGAAUCUUCCCUCUGUGGAGUUACGGUGGAGGAAUUACUGAGGAACACUGUGGUUUGCGCAAUUUGCAAUGAUGCGAUUGUGGUGAAAGAGAAGGUGAGGCGGCUUCCGUGUUCUCAUUACUAUCACGGGGACUGCAUUGUGCCGUGGUUGAGCAUAAGGAACACCUGUCCCGUUUGUCGGUAUGAGUUGCCCACCUAGGAUCCUUAGUAGAGGGCUGGUGGUGGUGGUGGCGGUGGCGAGCUACGUCCUGAGGGGCUGGGCUUGCAGGGAACUGCACGCAAGUGGUGGUCUGUGGUCUGGUGCCUUUCGGUUAAAAAGAAAAAGCUGAAAGCAACAAGAAGAAGACACAAGUAGUUGGAACGGAAGCACACGAAGCAUGUGGGGGCAUAAAGGCAGCAGCUCUUGGCCUUUUGAGAAGGUGGCAAAGUUUUCAAAACAAGCAGGAAAUUAGAGCAGAAUCUGCUAGACAGUCAGUGUCAAACUUGAAAAGGUUGUGCCUUGUGCUAUCCUUGCCAGUCUUCUCCACCCUUAUACUAUACAUUUUCGCUUAACUCGGGUCCUUUGGGCAUUUGGUGUGUAUUUGGAAUCUGUUUCAGUGCUGCCUCAGCUACGUUUGAUGCAGAAUGCAAAGAUAAACGUGUUGCAAUCGAUCACUCGUACAUUGACUUGUAACAGUAGUACUACAGAUGACGUGUGUCCGUGAUCUGUACUCGAUCCGUCGAAACAAACUCUAUAAAAAGGCUUCCAUCUUCUUCCACCUCUUAACAUAUAUAGACCUAGUACUACUUGAUCAAGGGAAUAGAACGACGCCAUCGUGUGUUGCAGCGCUUCAAGAUAGGUGUUGACGCCAAGGUCGCCAUGAAUCCUGAUGUUUAUGUUAGGAAGAAAACCAACGACAAGGAUGAUAAAUACAAAGUGAAAGCCAAGGCUAAGGGAAUUUUGGAGGGCUAUGUCUCCAAGAUGAAACAUGCUUUCAAGGAUGAAACGAUUCGGUCCAAGCUUAAGCCUGCAUUUAAGAAGGAGAUUGAAGAAGCCAUUGGCCAUUUGAAUGGGUGGUUAAAGUACGUUCAGAAUCCGCAGGCAGACGACAACGAGAUAAAAAAAAAUAUGAAAUUGAACAAAAAAUACUACGAAGACAUCAUUGCAAAGAUCAAACAACUUAAACAAUCGAGUAGCUCCACUUGGUCAAGUUAGAGAUGACUGCUAUAUAUGUAGUCGAUCUACUGAAUGGAACUCAUACUAAAGUUGAAAUGAUAUUAAUAUGUUACCACUUUGUUUGUCGGACCUUUUAAUUGUACUAAUUUUAAUAUUGUUGGUGUGUUUAAAUUUGCACGCAAUAGUACUGUUCGAUUGUUACCUGUUACAACAUUUGACAUUUUUGGGGUGAAAUUUCUGAUUGUUGCUAUAUA